CCACAUCUACAACAACAGAGAUAAAUAUAUUUAGAUCAGAAUUAUCGCUCCCUCCAGCUUUUCCUGACAUAUCGAGUUCACGAGAAUAAGACAACCUGAAAACAUUAUGCCUGCAGCCACCGGGUGUCGCCGGUGUGGAGAAAUAAAACAUUUCACAUGAGUGUAGAAAGGAAGUGUGGAUGAAUGACCUUGGACAGAAUGAGGCAGCCGGGUGGAAUGUGAGGACAUCUUUUAACAUGAAGGUUUCAGAAGCAACAACAAUGAGGGUUUUACAUGAGUCAAUGUUGAUGAAGACCCGAAACACUAAUUGAAGUCGUGGUGUUGACUCAUCAAAAUGAAGAAGAACAGAUUUUGCAGCAGAAAACAGGGAAACACGGGGGAGGGGCUACACUCUGAGCUGUAACAUCGGAACUGGUGUGAGCCAAUGAGAAGCCAGCUCUGCUCACUUGUACUGUCCAAUAAGUUAAACUGGGCAGAAGUCGCCGCUCCACGGCGUCGGUGACUCACCAAUCAGCUCGGUCUUGAUGGCGUGAAGCUCGGCCGGGCAACUGUUGCUAACAUUGAUAGCAGGCGUGGCCAACCCUCCAUUGCUGCUGUAAACGUCCAGCAUCGUCCCAGAGACAGGCAGCUGAAACGACCAAUCACAACACAGAAUCAACGUCUCUGAAAUACAGAAAUUUGUUAUUGGAAUGAAAUCUAUCCAAUCAGCUGAGAGAAGAAAUGCUGUUGUGUAUUCUCAUGUGAUCCGUUCAAUAGACUUUCUGUUUUUUUAAGAAUCAUCAUGAAGUAAUGUGGAUUUUUAAUCCAACUUGUUUCCAGAGCAGUUUGUGAAGCAGCUCUGAUCUGAGGUCAGUUCAUGUUCCUCAGUGGAAUCUGCUGAUCGAACAAGAAAUGAUAAGAGCUGCGUCCUGCUCCCACACACACACAAACACACACACACACACCCACACACACACACACCCAUACAAACACACUGAUCAGGACUAACAGGGAAACCACAGAUUCACGUCUGACUCAGGGAAAACAUCAUGUUAAAAAUGAAUUUAGUACAAACACAUAGACAUCUCAGUGUUUCUGGAUUUCUCCUAGCCAAUUUGACAUCACAUAUUUAGAUUACUUAUUGUGAGUUGAUGUUUCAUUGAUCUAAUUAUUAAUCCUCUGACCUCUGCAGUAGAAAUGUUCCUGCAGUGUCUCUUAAAUCUGUACAACCUCAAUGAAAAAGUUCUGUAGGUCAAUAAACCAUAAUCAAUUAUUAAAGCA